rnacentral:rRNA from 1 species
AUCGAACGCUGGCGGCAUGCUUUACACAUGCAAGUCGAGCGGCAGCGCGGGGGCAACCCUGGCGGGCGAGCGGCGGACGGGUGAGUAAUGCAUCGGAACGUAUCCCGUAGUGGGGGACAACCCAGCGAAAGCUGGGCUAAUACCGCAUAUGCUCUACGGAGGAAAGUGGGGGACCCGCAAGGGCCUCACGCUAUGGGAGCGGCCGAUGUCCGAUUAGCUAGUUGGUGGGGUAAAGGCCUACCAAGGCGACGAUCGGUAGCUGGUCUGAGAGGAUGAUCAGCCACACUGGGACUGAGACACGGCCCAGACUCCUACGGGAGGCAGCAGUGGGGAAUUUUGGACAAUGGGGGCGAACCCUGAUCCAGCCAUGCCGCGUGCGGGAAGAAGG